AUUGAACGCUGGCGGCAUGCUUUACACAUGCAAGUCGGACGAGUGGCGAACGGGUGAGUAACGCAUCGGAACGUACCCAGUAAUGGGGGAUAACUACUCGAAAGGACAGCUAAUACCGCAUACUAUUAGAGCGGCCGAUGUCGGAUUAGCUGGUUGGCGGGGUAAAGGCCCACCAAGGCAACGAUCAGUAGCGGGUCUGAGAGGAUGACCAGCCACACUGGGACUGAGACACGGCCCAGACUCCUACGGGAGGCAGCAGUGGGGAAUUUUGGACAAUGGGCGCAAGCCUGAUCCAGCCAUGCCGCGUGUAUGAAGAAGGCCUUCGGGUUGUAAAGGACUUUUGUCAGGGAAGCGGUACCUGAAGAAUAAGCACCGGCUAACUACGUGCCAGCAGCCGCGGUAAUAC
rnacentral:rRNA from 1 species